GGAAUAUUGGACAAUGGGCGAAAGCCUGAUCCAGCAAUGCCGCGUGAGUGAUGAAGGCCUUAGGGUUGUAAAGCUCUUUUACCCGGGAUGAUAAUGACAGUACCGGGAGAAUAAGCUCCGGCUAACUCCGUGCCAGCAGCCGCGGUAAUACGGAGGGAGGGAGCGUUGUUCGGAAUUACUGGGCGUAAAGCGCACGUAGGCGGCUUUGUAAGUUAUAGGUGAAAGCCCGGGGCUCAACUCCGGAACUGCCUUUAAAACUGCAUCGCUUGAAUCCAGGAGAGGUGAGUGGAAUUCCGAGUGUAGAGGUGAAAUUCGUAGAUAUUCGGAAGAACACCAGUGGCGAAGGCGGCUCACUGGACUGGUAUUGACGCUGAGGUGCGAAAGCGUGGGGAGCAAAC
rnacentral:rRNA from 1 species